UCUUCAUCUUUGUCUCCUCCCCAAAGUUUUAUUUUUGCUCGCUCCUCCAGAAGCUCUGCCACGCCCACCUCGAUCUCCGCCGCCACCUCCCAGCACUACCUCUGCAGUGGUCCUGCGCCUCCUCUACCCCGACCUACGGUGGCUCUCCCCCCAUCUCGAUCUCUGCUGAUGGUCCUGCGUCCUCACCACCCUGACCUCCGGAGAAGCUCCUUCAACCCACUUCCUUCCCCGACCUCCGCUGCGCUCCGACGUUCUUCACCGUGGUGAUGCCCCCAUCCCUGCCGGUUGUACAUGUUGGAUUAGGAGGUUUGUACAUGUACGUGUAUAUAUAUAUGUUCAAAUAGAGCUCCGUGAAUCUCAAGGCCUGUAUGAUCAAGAAUCUAUUGCCAUCAAUUGAAUCUCACAUGUGUGUGCUAGAUGGUGGAAGAAAUACUUCUCUUUUAAUUUGUAUGGAUGUGCUUACGUAUAUAUGUACUGGCACAUCUAGCCGGAACCUGAUUGGGAGGUCAGCUUCGCUACGUCUACGCGCCUGUGUCUUCGUGCCAUAUACUUAUAUAUCUAGCAUAUCAAGCCACCAGAGACAAGCAAUACUUCGUUGAGACAAUAACAACAAUAUGAUCGUUUUGUCUAGAUGACAUCGUCCAUGUCUACUGAUGUGGUUGGCACUCACCACAGCAUGCAUGCCUUGUGGCUAUAUAGCAAGUCAAGGUGCCUAUGCGGGCUGCAAAAAUGGAGGGCAUCGCUGACUCGGAUGUUGUGUCCUGCUUAAGCAUGUCAGUAAUGGGUGUCGGACAUGGACUCCACAUGGAACGCUCUCUUUGCCACAUAAGCGAUGGCCUCAAGCCCCUAUAUGGAAGUAUUCAGUCUUGUUGUUCUACCAUUUCUCUAGAACAAUAUGUACAACUUCGACGGAACACCGACCGCCAGUGCUCCACCUGAGGUACACCAUUGUACAAUCCACAUGCCAAACCAUGAGUAAAGUAGCAAGCUAUUAUGUUUCAAAAUUUAUUUGGAAGAGCACGUGUUUUGGGAUUUAUACUUCGCCGUGAUCUUUUACUGUGUUCCUCCAACCAUAGCUUGUAUGGUCAUUAACUUGCCAUAGACGGAUAGUCUGCAAAGUUUACAAACAAGAGCGAAACCAAUAAUGAUGAGUGAUGAUUAUGGUAUGAUUUGCAGGAUUAAUAAAUCAGUGGAACAAAGCUAUUUUACUGGAAAAGAUAAAUCCAAUAUUAAACAUAGUACGAACGUACUUCACCUGCAAAAUUCUCUUAUCAUUCUAUCAUUCCAGAGGUUAUAUAAACCACAAAAUCACACUGCUGGUCACACUAUUGGUCACACUACUAACAUCAGGUCCAAAUGAAACCCGAGAAAUUAAAUUGAAAUCCUGGUGACUGUAACAGUCAACAGGUUUGACAAACAACACACAUUUAUAUUAAUUCGGCAGUUCAUUAGAUAUGAUCUGCAAGAGUUGGCUGUGAUGUAUAUGUUCUGUAUCAAAGCACGGGUAGUUAAUCUAUCAUUUUUGCCAUUUAGAUAUGAUCUGCAAGAGUUGGUUGUGAUGUAUAUGUUCACUGUGAUGUAUAUGCUCUGAAUAUCAUACAAAGUUAGUUUCAGAUUGAUAGUGCACCUCACAAUGAUUUUUAUAACUGAAGUUGAUCAUAAUCAUUGUGUACAGAGCAUUCUAAUGUGGUGUUCAGUAAAUUACAGAAAAUAGAAGUAUGCCUAUUUUGUAACAUAUUGUAGUAAGGUAGCGCCACUUCCAAGAAUCAAAUGUAUUUUAUGUCUGGGCAAGUUUUUCCUCAAAUGUAUACUACAAAGGGAUCAGUACUAAUUAAUUGGCAAUUUACUAUGUGUCCUUAACUCCUUAUAUAGAAUACAUCUCAUGCCUUUGUAGAAUAAACUUCUCACGAGUGAAAUUACUUCUGGUGUUCCAAUGUAGCUAGAUUGUAGAGAAACAUGAUAGCAUCUUAAUAAUCCAGUAAGGUAUUUGUCGAGCUCCCAUUGCAUGAUUUAUAGAGAGAUCACAGAGCUUUUUCUUUAGUUCAUCGAAAAUUGUUUUGCUUCCAGUAUGCAAUUUGUACAAAAAUCAUGAAGUGCUUAUGCAUGCUUGCCUUUUGUUGACAACAUAAAUUUUGAAGUAAAGUAAAUGACAUGUAUUUUCUAAUCACAAUGGUGCAUCCAGUGGAUAAAGGUGUGUACUAUGACAAAGCUGUACUUCAGACUAUUAUUUUCGUUUGUGGAUAACAAACAAAAUGAGUAAAGCCCAUGGCAGCAACCAAUUUUGUUACCUGCUCCGAGGUAUGCAGGAGUUAUGUAUAAACUUCAUCAUAUGGUAGAAUAUUUAUCUAUACAUGUGUUUCUGGUGGAAACUAACACAUUUUAUGCCUAAUUUAUACUUUUCUCAUUGCAAGUCUGAUAUAAUACAAAACACUAAUUAAUCAUAUUCUCUUCAGACUACAUGCAUUCAUUUUAUAUGUAUUUCAUACCUAUCUAAUGUAGUAGAAGAACUCUUUAGAAUCAUUAGACUCGAAGUCGUCCAUGCCAAUGUAAUUUACGCCAACAUGAUGUUUGUACCAAAAAGGAUCAUGCAUGCUUUCUCCUAUCGAUUAUAGCUUGCUAUUGUCACUGAUGUAAAAUUAAAUCUUCAUGACAUGCGCCUCUUGCUUACCACUAUUGCAUCCAUUUUGAGAAAAGCUAUGGAAAGGAUAUACAUUAUACAUGUACUUUUUUUAAGCAAGUACCGCUGAUAUAGCUAUGACAGAUAGUUUGUGCGCUGCUACUUUGGUAGCCAGACUUCAAUAAAAGGACCAAAAUCUACAUUUUUAAAAAUUAAGCUAAUCUUUAUGAAUCAGUUCUUUUGUUUUACUUUUAGAUUGUAAACCAAUUUUUUAAUGGGGCCAAAUUUUUGGUUGGAAGGAAGAAACUCCACUCGCUGGGAGGAUUUGGUGGUAAUUUACAAGGUCGUGCAUCAUUUUUCAUGUAACUGGUUAGUGGCGAUCCAAGUCACAUGUUAUUUGAAUGGAUGUUACUACAACAUUUCCAUCUAAACGUAUGACACUAUGAUCGUUGCAUAUAUAGUGCACUCCCUCUGUAAAUAAAUAUAAGACGUUUUAUAGAUCACUAAAGUAGUGACCUAAAACUUCUUAUAUUCUUGUACGAGUGAGUAAUAUGUUCCUACUACUAUAUGUUUUUGUCAUUGUUAUGAGAAGAGAUUAAUUAGCUUCUCUGAGAUAUACAUCAUUGAUGUGAUCAAACAUGUGUUACAUGCCAUCUAAUGCAACAUCAUACCACAUCUUUGCAUUUUUCGGCACUUAUGUGCUCUUGCCAUUUGUGGAAUGGAAUUGUUCUCGGUUCAAAAUAAGACUAUUACAGCUGAUAAGCAGAAGUGCAGAAAAAAUAAAAUUGGACUACGCUUUAUUUGAAUGUUCACAAUUAUAACUAGCUAUGACAAAAGAUAACUAUACAUGUAUUUUUUUAGAAGUAGAACUAUACAUGUUAGAUCUCCAAUGGUGUAUCAACCAAAAAACAAUACCACAGAAUCUUAGAAAGCAAAAAGAAUACUAUAUAACUUAUAUCAAGAUAGCCAAUUACUCAUGCUCAACGACAAACAAAAAAAUGAUGUACCAUAUAACUGAUUGCUAAGAAAUAAAAGAAGUCCCGAGGUAAUGCUGGUUUGAAAUCAUAUGAAUAUGUAAAAUUCCUAAUUAUGAGUUUCUAAUUCAAUGUGAAUAAUCGUGAAAAAUUUCUACAUAUUUUUAAUGAGUAUUUUAUUUUCAUGUCAUUUGUUUAAAGUCUAAUAAUUCAAUUUUAGUAUUAGAUUGUGGGGACCACUUUUUUCGUCAAUUCGAAUGAACGUCUAACUGAUAAGUUGGCAAAUUGGUCUUCAUUUUGGAUACUAUAGUAUAACUCUUAUUUCUUUCCAUUUGUACAUAGUACUAUAUAUACUUCAAAGGUCACUGAGGUUAUUCGAACACCUGGUGUCCCUCAACUCAUUUUAUUUUAUAUCUUAUUACUGUACCACCAAAUUACAACAUAUAAUGCAUGCAAUAAGGAACUUAUUCAAAGAAUAUAGUAUUUUGUCCUAUGAAAAGUUCGAAGGAGUUGAGAACUUAAUAUGUCUGGAUAAUAAUAAUUUGGAUAUUUUUCUAUAUUAUUAUGGAAAGAAUUUGUAAAAUGAACAUACUAAAAAUGUCACUAUUAUGUGUUUUUUCAUGCUAGCCCGUGCAGCAGCAUGUGUUGACGUCUAGAUACUGGAAUUAGGUGUAGCGAUAUCACAAACUAAGAUUUGUACAAUGAUUGUUUUCAUUUAAUCAAUUGAUCUAACUUCUCCAUCGAAGAUAGUUAUUAAAGAAAAUGAAGAUAUCUCAUUCUAAACUCUGAGUAGUAUGAAUUGCGCCCCAAGAAAUCUAAAGUAAAUUAGUAGGAUAGCGUAAUCCAACCAUAAUUUUCGCAAGGAUAUUUUAUAUGAUAUUAUUGCUGACUGAAAUGCUAAUGCAUAUACCUAUAUAUCAUUGGCCUUUAAUAGCUUGGACUUAACGGUUUGCAAAAACGCUACUCCGGUGUAAUACUAUGAAUCUAGAGUAGAUAUUUAUUUUCCAAUUUUUAUACUUAUAUUGCCAAACUUGUGAAUAUAUAUUUUUCGCAAUAUGGCACAUCAAUAAAGAAUUUUAUUUUUUUUACAUGUGAACAUGCAAAAUUGAUCAAUGAAAAUAUGGAAUGGGAGCGCGUAUAAAAUAAAUAAACAUUUGAAUUGAAACAAAAUAGAAAAUCAAACUAAAAUAUACACUAGCCCGUGCGAAUGCACGGGUCGACGACUAGUUUGUAUGGUUGACAACCCCUCUCUUACGUCGGGUUGCAAGUAUUUGUUCUCUGUGUGAGGAGCUAUUUACGUGGUGUUGUGUGGUUCUCCUACUAGUUUGAUAACCUUGGUCUCAUCACUGAGGGAAAUACCUACUGUAGCUAUGCUGCAUCAUCCCUUCCUCUCUGGGGAAAUACCGACGUAGUUGAAGCCGCAUCAAAAGGAAUUUCUAGCGCCGUUGCCGGGGAGGAUCAAGUCAAGAUAGUCUCCCUGUAAUGUGCCAAUUUCUGGCGCCGUUGCCGGGGAGACAUCAUCAACAUCUACCAGGUUCCUAAUCACAAAUAUCAUCUCCCUACAAUUUACAUUAUUUGCCAUUUGCCUCUUGUUUUCCUCUCCCCCACUUCACAAAAAUUUGCUGAUUUAUUCGCCCUCUUUUUUGUUCGCCUUUUUCUCAUUUUGAUCUUGUAUUUGCUAUCUUUGCUUGUGUUGCCAUUGUCUUCUAUUUGCUUGCAUCUUCACUUGCUACAAAUCUAUUGAUAUGGAUCCUCAUCCACUUGUUAAUCUUUUCAAAAGAUCGAAUUAUGAUGAACCAAUUGCUAGUAAUUUGAGUGCACUAUUUUAUCUUUAUGAAGUUUUGCUUGAGAUUCGUGAAUUUGAAAAUUGUGAUGAAGAAAUUUUUGAAGUGAUUCAUGAUAGAUCCUUGAAUGAAAAGCAUGAUUGCGAUGAUUUUACUAUGAAUUCUAUUAAUGUCAAUUGUGCUAAUAAUAUGCAAAACCCCAAGCUUGGGGAUGCUAAUUUUGCUAUAUCCACUACUUGUCGCAAUGAUCAUGAUUGUGGUGAUAAUGAUUCGUAUGAUCUUGAAAAUAUAUUUAAGCCUCGUGAUGAAUAUGUUUGCGAUAAUAUUCAAAGUGGGCUUGGAGAGGUCAUGACUUUAGUUGAUGUUAAUCCCACCAUCUUGGAAGAUCAUAAAACUUUUAUGCAUGUGGAUCAUUAAGAGAAAAUUUUAUGUGAUAGCUAUAUUAUUGAAUUUGAUUAUGAUCCUACAUAUAAUUUUAUGAGAGAGGAAAAUAUGGUUGUAAAAAAUUUCAUGUUAUUAAAUUUCCUCUCGGUAUGUUGAGAUUGCCAAUGUUUUAUUCCUCUCCUUUGCAUAUGCUAGAUAUUCCUUGUCUUGACAAUUUGUUCUUCUAUAAAAUUACUAUGCAUAGAAAGUAUGUUAGACUUAAAUGUGUUUGUCACAUGUUUUAUGAUGCUCUCUUUGGGUUUCAAAUAUUAUCUUCCGUGUGAGCAUCAUUGAAAUCUUAUGCCUAGAUAGGGGCGUAAAACGAUAGCGCUUGUUGGGAGGGAACCCAAUGAAUAAAAUUUAUUUUUGUCUUUUUCUUUCUGAUCUUGAGUGUUUGCACAACUAUGCUACUGUUAUGAUUGUGUUUUUGUGUUUCAAUUAGUGUUUGUGCCAAGCAAAGCCUUUCGGAUCAUGUUGGGUGAUAGUUGAUUUGAUCUUGCUGAAAAACAGAAACUUUUUUGCCCAGCAAAAUAAUUUUCACUUUUUACAGAAGUGCGAUAAAAUACUGAUCAUUUUUCAAGAAGAUUAAUAUACAAAUUUCUCACGUUUUCCUAUUUUUCAGAAUUUUUGGAGUUACAGAAGUAUUCUAAAUAUCCAGAUUUCCACAGACUAUUCUG